GACGAGUCUCACGAACGUUAUUCGGAAUUACUGGGCUUAAAGGGUGCGUAGGCGGUGGAGUAAGUCGGAUGUGAAAUACCAUAGCUUAACUAUGGAACUGCACUCGAUACUACUUUGCUUGAGUAAGACAGAGGUGAGUGGAACUGAGGGUGGAGCGGUGAAAUGCGUUGAUAUCCUCAGGAACACCGGUGGCGAAGACGACUCACUGGGUCUUUACUGACGCUGAUGCACGAAAGCUAGGGUAGCAAACGGG
rnacentral:rRNA from 1 species